GUGAGGGAUUGUGUGUGUGUAUGACUGUGUGUGUGUCUGACUGUGUGUGUGUUUGUGCAGGGCCGGCGCGUCCAUAAGGCGGCACAGGCAGCCGCCUUAGGGCGCACCUACUCAGGGGGCGCAAAAUUCCAGUGACCGGCAGGAGGGAACUGCUCCCUCCUGCCAGGUCACCUCCUGGAUCCCCGGUGCGGCGUGCGACUGAAUUGGAUGCCGAGGUGGCGAGGGAGCUCUGAUCUCUCUGAUCUGCUCCCUCGCAGGCUGUUUACUGAUGACGUCAUAUUCCGGCUCCCGCGUGUUAAGAGGCACAUGGGCGAAUAUGUUUUUGGGGGGGCGGAAAAAUGCAUCUUCGCCUAUGUACCCCAAAUUCUUUGCACUGGCCCUGUGUUUGUGUCUGACUGUGUGUUUGUGUCUGACUGUGUGUGUGUUUGUGUCUGACUGUGUGUGUGUGUGUGUGUGUUUGUGUCUGACUGUGUUUGUGUCUGUGUAUGUGUCUGACUGUGUGUGUGUGUGUGUCUAACUGUGUGUGUGU